CCGAGCUCGAGCUUCAGAAAUAAAGCUCGAAUCGAGCCGAGCUCGAGCUCGAGCUUUCAUAUGUUAAACGAGCUCGAGCUCGAGCCUGGUCGAGCUCGGGCUCGUCUCGGCUCGUUUGCACCCCAGGGGUCCGGGUCGGAAUGGGUUUCGGGUCGGAACGGGUUUCGGGUCGGAACGGGUUUCGGGUCGGGUCGAGUCAGUUUUUCUUUUAAGACAGUCAAGAGAUAAGCAUUCAAAGGGAAAACAAUGCCACAAACAUUAACUCUGCACAAAUAUUAUUAGUUUAAAUGUAUAAUCUUCGUUACAGAUAGUGACAUAUGUUUUGAAAUUGUGACGAGUACUACAAAAUUUGAAUGUCAGAUCACGAGUCAUCCAAAUUGGCUUUAACCGGUGUCGUUUUACGCCUUAGGUUAACCCAAAUUGGCUUUAACCGGUGUCGUAUUAAUAAAUGUUUAAGCGCAAUUGAUCAGGAUCAAGUGAUUUCAUAAAUGUUUUGCGACUCGGUAGACCGUUCCUUUCAUGUAACUUGGCCUAUACAAAGUACACAGAAAUUUCUUUUAAAUCUCAGAUAGGUGCGUUUCAUGGCAAGGUGGUUUAGAGUACGCGGGGAUCAGCUUGGGAACCAAAGUCAUGGAUUCGGAUGGCCUUAUGGCCCCGUGGCGUUAGUUACACCAUUCAGUUUUAGUUUUCCUGUAAAGAUCCCGGCAGUCCAGCUGAUGGGAGCUCUUUACAUGGGCAUCAAACUGGUCCUUAGAGUUGAUAAAAAACAGUGAGUUUUUAAGGCACAUAAAUAACUAAUAUUUAUACCUGGGGAUCAUCUAUAUAGGUGAAAACUAACUUCAAUGCACCAAAAUUUGAAUGUCAGAUCAUGAGUCACCAAAACAGUAUUAUAUGCAUUCUUUUUAUAGUCUGUACCAAAGAUUGGUAUCAGGGUACUGGUACCAAGCACUGAUGAAGGUGGAGAAAUGGCUAUCAUCUCUGCGGCAGCUAGAUAUCACAGCUUGAGAAUAUGCUGAAGCAGAAAACUUUUACUAUGUUUGUUUUUUGCACCAGUUGUUAAUCUUUUCUAUGAUCUGUGAUGUAAGUUUGACAGCUGGAUAUUACAAAAUUUGACAGUAAUGAGCCGAGCCCGAGCAAGGUCAGCUCGCUCAUUAGUUGGCCCGCUUAAAUUAAAGUCCAAAUUUGACUAAGUGACCCACAUCCUAGCUCAUUGUCGCAGCCUGGGAAUGGAGGCAAAAAGGAGAAGAUAAUUUAUGCAGUUUUUUUGCUAACUUGUCGGAAGCUUUGGCGAAACAGAAACGAGAGUAUUUUCGAUAAAAAGUUCACUUCAGUAGCGAUCUUGGUCGAUGACAUAAAGGUUGAAUCCUUUCGAUAAAAAGUUCACUUCAGUAUCGAGUGAUUGUUUAAAAACCUACUAGAUCUGGUCUGUAUUAUGUAACAUGACUACAUAUAUGUUUUAUGGUUAAACGUCUACUGAAGUUAUGUUCA